rnacentral:rRNA from 1 species
AUCAGUAUGUGUGUUAGUGGAAGCGUCUGGAAAGGCGCGCGAUACAGGGUGACAGCCCCGUACACAAAAAUGCACAUGCUGUGAGCUCGAUGAGUAGGGCGGGACACGUGGUAUCCUGUCUGAAUAUGGGGGGACCAUCCUCCAAGGCUAAAUACUCCUGACUGACCGAUAGUGAACCAGUACCGUGAGGGAAAGGCGAAAAGAACCCCGGCGAGGGGAGUGAAAAAGAACCUGAAACCGUGUACGUACAAGCAGUGGGAGCACGCUUAGGCGUGUGACUGCGUACCUUUUGUAUAAUGGGUCAGCGACUUAUAUUCUGUAGCAAGGUUAACCGAAUAGGGGAGCCGAAGGGAAACCGAGUCUUAACUGGGCGUUAAGUUGCAGGGUAUAGACCCGAAACCCGGUGAUCUAGCCAUGGGCAGGUUGAAGGUUGGGUAACACUAACUGGAGGACCGAACCGACUAAUGUUGAAAAAUUAGCGGAUGACUUGUGGCUGGGGGUGAAAGGCCAAUCAAACCGGGAGAUAGCUGGUUCUCCCCGAAAGCUAUUUAGGUAGCGCCUCGUGAAUUCAUCUCCGGGGGUAGAGCACUGUUUCGGCAAGGGGGUCAUCCCGACUUACCAACCCGAUGCAAACUGCGAAUACCGGAGAAUGUUAUCACGGGAGACACACGGCGGGUGCUAACGUCCGUCGUGAAGAGGGAAACAACCCAGACCGCCAGCUAAGGUCCCAAAGUCAUGGUUAAGUGGGAAACGAUGUGGGAAGGCCCAGACAGCCAGGAUGUUGGCUUAGAAGCAGCCAUCAUUUAAAGAAAGCGUAAUAGCUCACUGGUCGAGUCGGCCUGCGCGGAAGAUGUAACGGGGCUAAACCAUGCACCGAAGCUGCGGCAGCGACGCUGAUGCGUUGUUGGGUAGGGGAGCGUUCUGUAAGCCUGCGAAGGUGUGCUGUGAGGCAUGCUGGAGGUAUCAGAAGUGCGAAUGCUGACAUAAGUAACGAUAAAGCGGGUGAAAAGCCCGCUCGCCGGAAGACCAAGGGUUCCUGUCCAACGUUAAUCGGGGCAGGGUGAGUCGACCCCUAAGGCGAGGCCGAAAGGCGUAGUCGAUGGGAAACAGGUUAAUAUUCCUGUACUUGGUGUUACUGCGAAGGGGGGACGGAGAAGGCUAUGUUGGCCGGGCGACGGUUGUCCCGGUUUAAGCGUGUAGGCUGGUUUUCCAGGCAAAUCCGGAAAAUCAAGGCUGAGGCGUGAUGACGAGGCACUACGGUGCUGAAGCAACAAAUGCCCUGCUUCCAGGAAAAGCCUCUAAGCAUCAGGUAACAUCAAAUCGUACCCCAAACCGACACAGGUGGUCAGGUAGAGAAUACCAAGGCGCUUGAGAGAACUCGGGUGAAGGAACUAGGCAAAAUGGUGCCGUAACUUCGGGAGAAGGCACGCUGAUAUGUAGGUGAAGUCCCUCGCGGAUGGAGCUGAAAUCAGUCGAAGAUACCAGCUGGCUGCAACUGUUUAUUAAAAACACAGCACUGUGCAAACACGAAAGUGGACGUAUACGGUGUGACGCCUGCCCGGUGCCGGAAGGUUAAUUGAUGGGGUUAGCGCAAGCGAAGCUCUUGAUCGAAGCCCCGGUAAACGGCGGCCGUAACUAUAACGGUCCUAAGGUAGCGAAAUUCCUUGUCGGGUAAGUUCCGACCUGCACGAAUGGCGUAAUGAUGGCCAGGCUGUCUCCACCCGAGACUCAGUGAAAUUGAACUCGCUGUGAAGAUGCAGUGUACCCGCGGCAAGACGGAAAGACCCCGUGAACCUUUACUAUAGCUUGACACUGAACAUUGAGCCUUGAUGUGUAGGAUAGGUGGGAGGCUUUGAAGUGUGGACGCCAGUCUGCAUGGAGCCGACCUUGAAAUACCACCCUUUAAUGUUUGAUGUUCUAACGUUGACCCGUAAUCCGGGUUGCGGACAGUGUCUGGUGGGUAGUUUGACUGGGGCGGUCUCCUCCUAAAGAGUAACGGAGGAGCACGAAGGUUGGCUAAUCCUGGUCGGACAUCAGGAGGUUAGUGCAAUGGCAUAAGCCAGCUUGACUGCGAGCGUGACGGCGCGAGCAGGUGCGAAAGCAGGUCAUAGUGAUCCGGUGGUUCUGAAUGGAAGGGCCAUCGCUCAACGGAUAAAAGGUACUCCGGGGAUAACAGGCUGAUACCGCCCAAGAGUUCAUAUCGACGGCGGUGUUUGGCACCUCGAUGUCGGCUCAUCACAUCCUGGGGCUGAAGUAGGUCCCAAGGGUAUGGCUGUUCGCCAUUUAAAGUGGUACGCGAGCUGGGUUUAGAACGUCGUGAGACAGUUCGGUCCCUAUCUGCCGUGGGCGCUGGAGAACUGAGGGGGGCUGCUCCUAGUACGAGAGGACCGGAGUGGACGCAUCACUGGUGUUCGGGUUGUCAUGCCAAUGGCACUGCCCGGUAGCUAAAUGCGGAAGAGAUAAGUGCUGAAAGCAUCUAAGCACGAAACUUGCCCCGAGAUGAGUUCUCCCUGACUCCUUGAGAGUCCUGAAGGAACGUUGAAGACGACGACGUUGAUAGGCCGGGUGUGUAAGCGCAGCGAUGCGUUGAGCUAACCGGUACUAAUGAACCGUGAGGCUUAACCUUACAACGCCGAAG